rnacentral:rRNA from 1 species
GACGAACGCUGGCGGCGUGCUUAACACAUGCAAGUGGUGCGACGAACCAGGCUUCGGCCUGGGGCAGAGCCGCGAACGGGUGAGUAACACGUGGGCAACCUGCCCUGUUGAUCGGGACAACCCGGGGAAACCCGGGCUAAUACCGAAUGUGGUGCCGGCUCAUGAGAGCCGUCACCAAAGGAAGCUUCGGCCUCCGCGACCGGAUGGGCCUGCGGCCCAUUAGCUUGUUGGUGGGGUAAUGGCCUACCAAGGCAACGAUGGGUAGCUGGUCUGAGAGGACGAUCAGCCACACUGGGACUGAGACACGGCCCAGACUCCUACGGGAGGCUGCAGUGGGGAAUCUUGCGCAAUGAGCGACAGCUUGACGCAGCAACGCCGCGUGGGGGAAGAAGGCUUUCGGGUCGUAAACCCCUUUCAGUUAGGACGAAGCUUUAUUGGUUAAUAACCAAUUGGAGUGACGGUACUUUCAGAAGAAGCCCCGGCUAACUACGUGCCAGCAGCCGCCGUAA